AAACCAAGCAGAGAAAACAGAGUUUAGAGCCUCUCCUGUCCACUCCCCCUAACUGGGAGUGUCCAGUGGAGGGACAUGGGCAGAGCUUUCUUGGGCAUAAGAAGAACGAAAUGCAGCAAGACUGUUGAUGAAGGAAGCCACGCAAACUCCAUGUUUCAUCAAAGACCAGUACUUCGAGUAGCACUGCUCUGCUGGCUUACUUUGGGCUUUACCAGUGAUUUAACCUGGGUACACGAAACACCAGCACACUUAUCAGCUCACCUUGCUCAGGUCAGCUGAGAGUGACAGCACUGUGAACACAGUAGCCAUCAAAUCUUAACCUGAGUAAUUUCCUGUGAUGACAUCUCCUCUUCUGGGAGCCUCAGGUCGUAUUUUGUUAUAUUGAAAUGUGCAACUAAUAUCGUGGCCUACUUUGAAAAAGCCAAAGCCAAUGGACAACUCCAGGACCUGGUGAGCGGUUUAGUUCUCUGCAAACCAUAAGCAGCAAACAGGCUUAGGGGUGUCCUCCCAAAUCCUGCUGAUCUUGUUUUCUUUUCUUUAACUGUACAAUGCUUAUGAAAACAAUUUUUUUUUAACUGGAAACGGUUAUUGUGUUUUUUGACUUGAAAAGCAAUGUGGCAUUGUAAAAUAAUUCAGAAAUGUAUGAACAGAACUAAAAAUCCAUUAUCCUGCUAUCCAAAGAUAACCACAGUUAAUA